GCUCCCGUAGCCCAACUGGCAGAGGCAGAUGGCUUAAACCCGUCACAGCGUGGGUUCGAACCCCACCGGGAGCA
rnacentral:tRNA from 2 species